rnacentral:rRNA from 1 species
UGCGUAGGUGGUUUGGUAAGUUAUCUGUAAAAGCCCUGGGCUCAACCUGGGAAGGCCAGAUAAAAACUGCGAGACUCGAGUAUAGGAGAGGGUAGUGGAAUUUCCGGUGUAGCGGUGAAAUGCGUAGAGAUCGGAAGGAACACCAGUGGCGAAGGCGGCUACCUGGCCUGAUACUGACACUGAGGCACGAAAGCGUGGGGAGCAAACA